CCCUCAUCGACAACGCGAUGACCAAGAAGCCUCAGGUAGUGCAAAUCGAGCCGACCGACAAGGCGUUCAAGACGAGCGGCUGCCAACCCUGGCAGAGCACCCCUGACGCCGAUGUGCCCGCCGAGCUUCCCGGCCCGGCCGCCGGGGCCAGCUGCAGAUGAAUCUGGGGAUACUCAACGGGCUGCUCGCUCCGAAUGGUCAGCAAGUA
rnacentral:ncRNA from 1 species